rnacentral:lncRNA from 1 species
UUUUUCCCCCUAUUCGCUUUAAAACUCACACUAUUGCGGAGUGAAUUAGGAUAUUUUGGGAUACGUUGCCUCAAUUUCCAUUCGGGAAAAAUGAGACUGACCAUAUGACGGACGCUUUGUACAAUUCGGUCUUCCGUUCUAAACGUGUUCGGGCAAAACCGAUGGUGUGUGGCCGCCUUAAGAAAUGAUGGAACGGAGCGCUGGAAAACUCUACCGCCAAACUUUAAGGGGCCAUACAGACCGGACCCACCCUUUUUUCCCCACCGCCUACGCUCCGACCAUCGAUUCGGUCGAAUGGCGCUGGGUCUCCACUACUCGACCACUGUCCGAGAGGCGGAUUUUCUGGGAACAGUUUGGGGCGCGUAUUAGCCCGAAGCCCAGCUGUCCGGGAAAAUCCUGGAAUGUGACUUCCCGGUAACUGUCGACAUUCGCACCGCGUUAACGUUUGGACCGGAAUUCUGGCCGACUUUUCCAUCGACCCGUAUAUAUAUAUAGCCUUCCCCUAUAAACGCUGUGAUGUAUGGCGCGCAUCUCCAUCUGGCCUAAUUUUGAUUGUCUGCACACGCGUACGCGGAGGUCGAUAAAUAAAAACAGAUGGUCGCUAGUCGAAGGUCGAUGGAGUAACAGCCACCUAUUCGAUUAGAUUCUUCCCAUGGCGAAGUACGUCAGUCCUAUGGAAGAAAUACGGUAGAGGUAUGAAUGUCUAAUCCCCAGCGACUUUUAUGUUUAAAUGGUUAACAAAAAUAUCCGCUACUUAUUACCUCCGACCGAAGAAAACUUUUCGUUUGGGACGGU